rnacentral:rRNA from 1 species
GGAUCAUUACAAGAAGCCGAAAGGCUACUUCAAACCAUCGCGAACUCGUCCAAGUUGCUUCGGCGGCGCGGCACCCCUUAACGGGGGCGCCGCAGCCCUGCCUCUCCGGAGGUUCGGGGCGCCCGCCGGAGGUACGAAACUCUGUAUUAUAGUGGCAUCUCUGAGUAUAAAACAAAUAAGUUAAAACUUUCAACAACGGAUCUCUUGGUUCUGGCAUCGAUGAAGAACGCAGCGAAAUGCGAUAAGUAAUGUGAAUUGCAGAAUUCAGUGAAUCAUCGAAUCUUUGAACGCACAUUGCGCCCGGUAGUACUCUACCGGGCAUGCCUGUUCGAGCGUCAUUUCAACCCUCAAGCCCUGCUUGGUGUUGGGGCCCUACGGCUGCCGUAGGCCCUGAAAGGAAGUGGCGGGCUCGCUACAACUCCGAGCGUAGUAAUUCAUUAUCUCGCUAGGGAGGUUGCGGCGUGCUCCUGCCGUUAAAGACCCAUCUUUAACCAAGGUUGACCUCGGAUCAGGUAGGAAUACCCGCUGAACUUAAGCAUAUCAAUAAGCGGAGGAAAAGAAACCAACAGGGAUUGCCCUAGUAACGGCGAGUGAAGCGGCAACAGCUCAAAUUUGAAAUCUGGCUUCGGCCCGAGUUGUAAUUUGUAGAGGAUGCUUUUGGUGAGGUGCCUUCUGAGUUCCCUGGAACGGGACGCCAGAGAGGGUGAGAGCCCCGUAUAGUCGGCCACCGAUCCUUUGUAAAGCUCCUUCGACGAGUCGAGUAGUUUGGGAAUGCUGCUCAAAAUGGGAGGUAUAUCUCUUCUAAAGCUAAAUAUAGGCCAGAGACCGAUAGCGCACAAGUAGAGUGAUCGAAAGAUGAAAAGCACUUUGAAAAGAGGGUUAAAUAGCACGUGAAAUUGUUGAAAGGGAAGCGCUUGUGACCAGACUUGUGCCGGGCUGAUCAUCCAGUGUUCUCACUGGUGCACUCGACCCGGCUCAGGCCAGCGUCGGUUUUCGUGGGGGGAUAAAAGCUUCGGGAACGUGGCACCUUCGGGUGUGUUAUAGCCCGUUGCUUAAUA